rfam:Triticum aestivum genome assembly, contig: Triticum_aestivum_CS42_TGACv1_scaffold_221210_3B
AAACUACUCCCUCCGUUUAGAAAUACUUGUCGGAGCAAUGGAUGUAUCUAGAUGUAUUUUAGUUUUAAAUACAUAUAUUUUUGUGCAAUUCUCCGACAAGUAUUUUCGGACGGAGGUAGUAGUUG